GACAGAGUAGACUGUAAAAUGAUGUUCUCUGGAAUUUGCGCAUUUUUCCUUUACAUCUUCAAAAACCAUUUUGCUGUGUCUUUAGCAAAUGAAACAAUGUGUUCAAAAUUUUCCUGUGAAGAACAGCUUCUAGAAAAAAUGAUUAGGCAGGAAAACAAAGUAGAAAUGAUGCAAAAUAACAUUCAGAAAACUCAAGAAGCGAUUGCGAUAUUCUGGAGGGGGAAAUUAAGAAAACUAGAGCAAAGGUGUCUCAAAAACUUAAAUCGAUACAGAGCAAUGUCACGGAGGUGGUUGAAAGAGAGAAAGAAAAGAAUGAAGAAAUACUGAAGAAAGCAUUUGAAGAACUACGUAAUGAUUUCACGAAUGAUAUGGAGGAAGGAAGAAAGAUGUUAAUAGACUUUUCAGAAAAAAUAAAAAAGCCUUCCAUUGCAUUCUUUGCACACAAUGUGGUAGAUCUAUAACUUAACAAGACAGACGAAAUCAUCAUAUUUACCACAGCAACGACCAACGAAGGAUCAGGAUAUGACACUUCUACUGGAAUCUUCACAGCACCUGUCGGGGCAUUGUACCAAUUUAUUGUUAAUUAUUGUACAUGGGUCAAACAACAUUCACCUCUUGCGUUAGUGCUAUCAGGAAACGUGAUUGCUCGGUCGGACAAUUACGAUGCAAAAAAACUCAGCUUGCAGCUCCUUUUCUGCAGUUAUGAGAGUGAAAUCUGCAGAGCAGUUAUGGGUCAAAUGUCUGUAUGGCUAUUCCGGUUAUGCUUUGAAUAAAGAUGACUGGAGGAUGAUCUCCUUCAGUGGCAUUCUCAUCAACAAAUAAAUCAUUUAUUACCAACAUUCACAUAGCAAUCUGUUUAAAUACAUACUUAUCUGAAUUGCUAAUUAAACUUGAAAUUGAGAUACAUUAUUAAAAUUAUAUGCUCACAACUAAUUGCUAAAAGAGAUACCUAGCAUAUAUUUUUGUUUCAAGCAAGACGGGUAAGCAAGAGUGGUCCUGGAUAUUUGUUGUGAAUCACUGUUAAUCAAUCUCUAAAUAUAGUUUCACAUUUUCAAAAUCAUGCAAGGCUGAUCAAUUUAUCUUCAAUAUGUUUGAAUUAUACGUCUUGUUAUAAUGUAGAUUUGUAUUAUCAUAUAAAGAAUUUACAUUUACGCAUUUUUUUUCUAAUAUAGCUACGAAACUUAAUUUUAGAUAAUUCAGAACAAUGACAUGAGAAUAAAAUUGUCUGAAAUCAACAUCUGUAAUAAUGUUUAUUUUCAUUAACUUUGCAUAUCAGUAGUUAUGUUUAACACAAUAAUGAAUAAAAUAAUUUGUAAGAUUUAAGCAUAGUUUUAAAAGGUGCAUUUAUUGGAAAAGCAAACUGUAGUGUAAAUAAUGACAGUAUCUUUAAAGGUUAGUUAAAAAAGAGUCACAUUAAAUUCAAGACAUUUACAAUGUAUAUGGUAUUUCAUAUAUGAUGAGGAUAUUUAUUCGUUUGACUGACUAUGGGAUAUAUUUUCACAUAAUGUGAUAAAAUUUCAUGUAUUUGCACAAUUCGAUUUGUGAUUGAUUGUGUUGAAGUAGCGCUUUUUUUCAAAAGCUUGAUCAGGACAUGCUUUUUUGUAUAAUAUACAUAAAUAUGAUAAUAAAACGUAUAGGCUUUCUCGCAAACGUUCAA